ACUGCUGAUGCCAUAUUGUAUAGUCCUUGCCUCCCUGCUAACUAGCUCACCCUAAACUGACCUUAAUACAAGGUUGGAAAAGAAGUAUAUCUUAUACUCGUCAGCUUUGCUUGUGGUCAGCACCAUUGAGCAGCCUGUGCAGAAUGAGAAGUAGCUGUGCCCAGGAGGAGGUCAUGUUUCUCACAGACACCAUGGAUUCAGUGAGCAUGGCGGCUGCUGGGCACCUGCAGUGUCUCCAUGCAGGAAUGGCAGAGUCUCAACACACUCAAUAGGAAGGGCAGGAACCCACACAAGCUGAGGAGCAAAAGCCCAGGCUUGUUCACUGUGCUGUGAACACGUGACUGUGCAACCAUGCCAACCUUGUGUCUUUUAAGACUUCCAGACAGUAUAUUUAGAGCUUGUUCUGCCUAA